UACGUAGGGGGCAAGCGUUGUCCGGAAUCAUUGGGCGUAAAGAGCGUGUAGGCGGCUUGGCAAGUCUGACGUGAAAUCCCGCGGCUCAACCGCGGUAGGUCGUUGGAAACUGCCUCGCUAGAGUCCGGAAGAGGAGAGCGGAAUUCCUGGUGUAGCGGUGGAAUGCGCAGAUAUCAGGAAGAACACCCGUGGCGAAGGCGGCUCUCUGGGACGGUACUGACGCUGAGACGCGAAAGCGUGGGGAG
rnacentral:rRNA from 1 species